GUGUCAGCCGCCGCGGUAAGACGAACCGAGCGAACGUUAUUCGGAAUCACUGGGCUUAAAGGGCGCGUAGGCGGGCCGUCAAGUCAGGGGUGAAAGCCCCCAGCUCAACUGGGGAAGUGCCUUUGAUACUGACGGCCUCGAGGGAGAUAGGGGCGUGCGGAACUUCCGGUGGAGCGGUGAAAUGCGUAGAUAUCGGAAGGAACACCGGUGGCGAAAGCGGCGCGCUGGAUCUCUUCUGACGCUGAGGCGCGAAAGCCAGGGGAGCGAACGGGAUUAGAUACCCUGGUAGUCC
rnacentral:rRNA from 1 species